rnacentral:rRNA from 1 species
GUACGGGUGCGGAACACGUGUGCAACCUACCUUUAUCAGGGGGAUAGCCUUUCGAAAGGAAGAUUAAUACCCCAUAAUAUAAUGAAUGGCAUCAUUUAUUAUUGAAAACUCCGGUGGAUAGAGAUGGGCACGCGCAAGAUUAGAUAGUUGGUAGGGUAACGGCCUACCAAGUCAAUGAUCUUUAGGGGGCCUGAGAGGGUGAUCCCCCACACUGGUACUGAGACACGGACCAGACUCCUACGGGAGGCAGCAGUGAGGAAUAUUGGACAAUGGGUGAGAGCCUGAUCCAGCCAUCCCGCGUGAAGGACGACGGCCCUAUGGGUUGUAAACUUCU